UUUUUUUGUAAAAAGUAAAGUAAACAGCCUCCAACAAGUGAACCUUGACAACCCAGAUUAAGGCAGGCAGGGGAGAUCAAACGGAGCUGCUGCUGGGCUGUUGUCAGAGCCGCCUGGCUGGGAGCGCCGGGUGCUGCAGCGGGGCACAGCCGGGCCGUUAGCAGUGCUGCUCUUUGUUGGGAAUCCAUAGGGUAACGUGGAGAGAAAUAAUGCUGCCCUUCCCCACAAGGCUGUCUACUGCUCACGGCUUUGGUUGUGAAGUUAGGUCGGUGCACGGGAAGGGCUGGUUUUAUUGUUAUUAAAUUGUUUAAUUUUUUUUUUGAGGCUUGCAUACACUUGGAGAGCGAUGGAGGAUUUGGUUUGGUUUGAUUUCUGCCGCCUGGAGCUGCGGAGAAGGCGGCGUUUCCAGUAAUGCAGCGUUCAAAACAGCCUAAAAGUUCUGUGGAAUUCAACCCUGAUUUCUGCAUCUCUGAUUUGUAAGGAAACCCAGGCGUGUUUUUCUCGGCAUGUGAGCGGUGCUGGUGUGUGACGGGUUGGGUGGCGAUGAGGCGUUGCACACCGUGUGGCUGCAGCCCUGAGUGCUGGAAGGUGCAGCGCCGUUCCCGGAGCGUUGCCUGGUGGCACAUUUGCUGUAGCUGUGUGCUGUGCUUGGUGCAGGGCGAGGUGUCCCCUGGUGUCGGGGCUGCAUCAGAAAGGUUCCACUGCUCUUUCAUUUUUUAAGUGAAAUUUGUAGCCAGGGGUGUGAGGCGAUUGCUGGUUUUGCUUUGGUAAAUGUUUCAGUGUGAGCGUUAAUCAGAUGUCACCAGUGCAGUUCAGGGUUAUUUUUGAUGCUUUCGUGUUUGCAUUCAGACAGCUCAGUGCAAACUCCACCAGCAAGCCCCUGUUUUGUUCCUGUUCUAAGUACUUCUGUUCUAAGUGUCCUGAAACAAUGGGGACAGCCAUUGCAAGUGGGAGGAGAAGGCUUUACCCCGGUGUGUGUGAGCAGGGUGCAGACCAAGCGCACAUCCACUGAAGAAUGAAGAAACCCAAAUCCUUUCCCCAGAAGUACUUCUUUAAUUAGCAGCGCAGAUCACACAAUAAGUACUUUAUGCUUUUAUAAGGUAAGGUUUCACAACCAUCCUGCGUAACUUACAGAGCCUGUACUUUUUUAUGGCGUAUACUUUCAUUAGACAAUAAAACGUGCGUGUGUUAAACAUGCACACGUAUGCUGUGAAGCCGUUUGGGGUAACGCAGUGUUUUUUUAUCCGCUGUGAACAUUUCAUGCCGCAGUCGGUGGCAGUGGUGAGGUGUCGCUUUGGAAGCAGGCAGGACGCUGGGCAGAGUGCUGAGCGUGAGGCAUCGCUGCAUGGCAUGGGCUGCAGCGCUGCUCCGUAGCACAGGACCACAUUUUCUUAAGGGCUUACCUUUGUGUUCCCACCCACCAUGCGCUUAGCUCCGGGAUUAUUCCUGCUUCACGGUAUUGUAAAAAAUUAGGGGAGAAGGGGCGGUAGUAGAAAGGUAGGUUAUGGCAUAGGGCUCAGCAUUCAGUGUUCUUAGUGCUUGUGGUCAUGGACAGAGAGGGCUGGACCGGGUCGUGUCAUUCCUUUGCAGAAGUAUCUUUCGAGCGUGUAUUUGUCUGUGGAAUGAAAUAACGUAUGCACACACAUAUGUAGGAGAUGCAUGUAAAAUACAGUUAUUUCUGCAAGGCCAUCCGGUUAUUUAUAGGACAUAAUGAUACUUCUGUCAUCUUAAAUUUUCUCAGAGAAGCUUUAAUAAAUUUAAAUAGAUUAUAUGCUGUCAGGAAAUAGUAUAAAUUUUGUUUACGAUUCACUUGCUUUAAGGUACUUAUACUAAAGAAGCUCAUUUAACCCCCAGACUGAGCAGCAUUAAGUGGUGAGAGGAGUCUGCCGGAGAGCUGCCGCUGCCCUUUGCUCUUGUGAUAAUCUUAAAUUACAACAAUUUAAUUGCAACUUCAAGGCACCGAGCGGAGACGUUUCCUGCGGCUGAGGCAGGGCCGGGGGAAAGGCAGCGAAACGGGGCUCCUUGUGGACAGGAUUCCUCGUGGCUGGGAUCCCUUGUAGCUGGGCUCCUCGCUGCUGUGCUCAGGCCUUCUGCCCCGCCGGCGGUGUCACAGCGGUGUCACAGUGGGAGUCCCUGGGUGGGGGCAGGAUUGGGGCUGCAGCAGCCUGGCACAGCUCUGGGCGCAGAGUUGUGCCUGAGUUGGGUUACGCUGUAGCAGGGGUUCAGUGGUGGGGAGCUGCAGAGUCUGGGGGCACCUGGGGUUAUGCAGCCCCAAGACCUGCUGUCGGGGGCUGUGUCCCAGCUCAGCUUGCCACAAGUUCGUGUCCCCCUGGCCCUGAUAUGUCCUCACACCCAUGAGCACCCAUGAGGUGGGGGCAUUGGGAGCCAGGCAGCGUGUGCCAAAGGCGGUUGACAAACGUUGUGUGCUGGAGCUCAGCAGCAUGUCUGCGGCUGUUUGCAGAGGUCCUGGCAGCACAACUUUACCAAAUGCUCACAAGGGCACAGAGGGGCUCACCAUUCUUGACUUUCUUGCCUUCGGAGACAUACUUGUGGAGUCUGUUGGAAGGAGAGCCCACGCCAGCACGAUGCUACUGGGGUAAGGGCUUGUGCAGCCACAUGCACAGUGAGCAUCUGGAGCUGUGCCCCUCUGCGUCAGCAUGAAUUAAGUGUCACAGGAGGAACCAGAGAUGAAGUUCUGCGAGAAGAUCCACGACUUGAUCCAGUGAUGAUCUGGUGUGCAAAGAGGGAGAGAAAAAUGAAUUUCUCACCCAAGACAUGGAGACUGUUAGUGCCAUGCAACCCAGCUUGUGCUGUAGUGAGCACCUCUGCUCCAGUGCCAUAACGCUGGUUGGGUUGCUGCAGUUGCCUGUGAGUGUUAGCAGCUGCAGCUGGCUGUAAAAGCUGUAAAUUUCCCAGUAACUAGCAAAAAAAAUAUUGCGAAUCUGCAGUUAUUCUCCACAUCUGGAUAUGCCGUGUUUGUUAGCAUUGAGCUAAGUACAAUAAAAAGCAUUUUUCUCAA